rnacentral:rRNA from 1 species
UACGUAGGUGGCAAGCGAUACUCGGAAUCACUAGGCGUAAAGCGCAGGUAGGCGGUUUGGUAAGUCUUUUGUGAAAGCUCCCGGCUCAACUGGGAGAGGCCAAGGGAAACUACCGGACUAGAGUGUGGUAGGGGAUACUGGAAUUCCUGGUGUAGCGGUGAAAUGCGCAGAUAUCAGGAGGAACACCGGUGGCGAAGGCGGUUCUCUGGGCAUUACCUGACGCUGAGGAGCGAAAGUGUGGGGAGCGAACAGG